CAUCCGAUGUACUGUUCAGGUCGAUCGAUGGAUAACACCUUCCCAGGGAAGAUACGGAUGUGAAGAGAAAAAGAAACUGGCCAACUUCCUCACGCGCGCAACCUCGCCUCUCGUCUCUCUCGCCCACAGCUUCCUCCGGCGGCAGCUGCCCCGAGCGCCUGGGCCUGGCCAUUGGAGCUCCAUCUCCCCCGAGCUUUUCUAUCUGCAUCUCGGAGCACACGGGAGAGAGGAACCGUGCUCGUUUCCAGGACGACAAGGCAGAUGAGGGCGAUGGGUGCGAGGCAAAGAGGGGCGUUGGUUGCAUCUGGUGAGAGGGGAGGGCGAGAUGCUGAGAUCCAGCUCCUCGCCGCGGGACGCGCCGACCUCGCCGCCGCCGUCGAGUCCAACGGUGGGUGGUUGUGGCUCUCCCUCGGAUGGUCUUCUAACGAUGCGCAGCCGUCGAGCGGCCCGGGCGUGCACCCUGACUAUCCGCCCGAGGUGCGUGCUUCUGGCCUAGCACCGACCGCCUUCAACCACGUCGUCGCCACCUAUAAGGUAUGUGCUUGUGUACUUCUGACUCUCGACUAAUUGAUGAACAUGGUACAAUUUUUUUCAGGAACUUUUGUUGGGUUGAGUUUUAUGUACGAAACAAGUAUGUGUCAUGAACUAACUUCAGAUUUUUGGUUUAGAAUGACGAGCAUAACUAUCCAUGGUGGUAUAUAUAUAUAGGCAGUGGCUCUGUCCGGCCCGGUGUGGCAUAUGCAGUCGUCCGUGUUGUGUGCUCUCGACUGCAAUGCGUGUGGCGUGCGUGCGAAAUGUGGGCCGGCCGACGUGCGUCUGUGUUCAUGUGUGUGGCGCUAUACUGGCAGAGGAAGCGGGCAGUUGCCGGCAGAGGAGGUUCAGGAUUAGUAUGGCACGAUUAGGAUUGUUCACUUGAUUUGUUUGUUGUUUGGUCUGGAUUAGUACAGCAAUGCACUGAUAUUUGUUUUAUGGUGCAGGAACUUCAAGACAACAAGGGGCAUCAGGCUCUACACAUUCAUCUUUGAUUUUCUCCCCAAAUCUGAAAUUGUUGGACCCCUAAAUUUUAAUCCCCUUGAGAAAGCAAGAGUAUUCAUGGAAUAUGGUCUAUUGAUGUUGACAAAUUUUAUUACAGCUGGGACUGGCAAAGUAAGUGCAGCGCUCACCAUCGCACAUAUAUUCAGGGAAAAAUCAAACUUCAGUCAGAAGAAGAUGACCAGGCAGGAGCUAUAUCCCUCUUGAAAGUUCAGAUCCUGACUUUUAUUGAUGGGAAGAGUUUAAGUGUGGGAUUUAUGUUACCAAAUCCAUUUGAUCUACUGUUUGGCGCUGAUUCAAAUGCUCUUGAUUUGGCUCUCCAUUUGUUAUUUGCAUUAUGUACCCCAUGCUAAUGAAAGGUAAGCUCGACAAACAAAUUAGUGUAGAUCCCUGUUUUCUGGGUAAUUGGUAUCAUUUUGUGAGUCAUUUGCCUUUCAGAGUUAGUGUGAUGUAGAGUACUGGGUCUUGUACAUUGUUACUGUUUCAGAUUUUGUAACUUACAGAAGAGACGAGUAAGGCUGGUAAUUAAGAACUUCCUGCAAAGAACUAACGUUUUAAGUUGGAGAGGGAUGCCUACACGCCUGAUUUAAUAAUAGCAACAUUUGCAAGGAUGCAAAGGAUUGGUUUCUAUGUUGUUCCCUUUCUUUCUUUACACAAAUAACAAUCUGGUGGUUCUCUUGUGGAGGGAAAACUCUACAUGGUACGUAAGGCGAGGUCUGGGCAUACAGGCUAUCAUUCUAUUUGUUUUUAGAAGUUAUUCAGUUGAAAAACCUUUAUGCUUGCGGUUGGCACAUCUCCUAUCAUCAGCUUAAGAAGGUAUUUACUACAGCUAGAACUUAUUAUAAAUAUUUUCUUAGAGGUUGAAACGUCUAUGCACAUGAACAUAAAAAAAUUCUAGAUGCAUCUCUUUUAGUUUUGAUUCUGCCAGCUUUCAGGGAAAUAAACAAUUUUUCUUAGAGGUUGAUACUUUAUUUUACAUGUGUGGUUAGAACUUAGAACUAACAAUUUAAGAUAGUACCAAUGCUGAGUGAACAUGUAGUUGCUGUAUUAGUUUCUUCUUUUCCCCCAUCGAUUUGCAGGUCGCUAAAGAGAAGCCUGCUGAGGUUUUCUCAAACUAAGGUCAAGUAUGCUCCUAGACUCCUUGAUAUUUAAUAUCGGUUGUGAUUAGUUCGUAUGUGUUUUUAUAUAUCUUGAAAUAAAAUAAGCAACUUGUUUUUUAAUGACUAAAAAUGGUGUAUGUGGAAUCCAUCAUCUUAAAAAGUAUCCAGGAUAAUUCAUAUAUGUUCGAUAACUUGAAUCCAGUAAGAGCUAAUACUCAUUAUGUUCUUUUUGUAGCAUAUUGGAUUGGACAGGGUGCUGUUUUGUUCGAAAGAUUGGAUUGGUGAGGGUAUUUGGUUUUAUGAUGGCUAGGUUGAUCAAAAUCACAUGGUCUUUUUUAUAUUGUGAGAAGAAAAAAACACCGGAACAGCUGAUUGGCCAUACCACAUUUUUAUCUGUUCUGCAUAUUUCACUCUUUAUGCAUUUCUGCGGGUUCAUUUGGUAUUUUUCUUCAGGCUAAAUGUUUGCAGACAGGGGAAACUGUUGCUAUUAAGAUGGUUUUUCAGGAUAAGCACUACAAGAACCGUGAGCUUCAGACCAAACGCCUACUUGACCACCCAAAUGUUGUAGGUCUAAAGCAUGGUUUCUUUUCCAAAACUGAGAAGGAUGAGCUCUUUCUGAACCUGGUUCUGGAGUAUGUACAUCACAUUGUCGCGCUACAUCCUUAACUCUCGCCCGAGCGGUGGUGCUGUCGCAACCUUUGCAAAUACUCUGAUAAUUAGGUGGUGAUCAAUUGCUGAUGGCUCUCUGUAGUGGCUUGGUGGUGGGAAGGAAUAGGGCGGUGGAGACAAGGCAGAGAGUGGGUGCUUCCCGCACUCGCCAGGCCAUCCGUGAUGCAUCUAAUAUGUUAGCAGGUUUGCGCUGCGCUGGUGACUAUCAUAUGUUUGUUAAAAUGCAUUUCCUUGUCAGUUUUGUAUGUUUAAUUUUUUUGAGCUGUAGUUACCACACAAAAGUUAUAAACUGAGAUGCGGAGAUUACAAUAUUGACCUAGGUUCAGUUUAGUCUAUUACGUGAUCUGACAUUGUUAUCCAUGAUUUCCCUCAUUUCUUUGUUUUGGCACAUGUUCAUUAACUAGAUUAUAGCCUAAUUCAGGUUUUUUGUGCAUUUAGUUCUAGAUUGUUUUGAUCUGAGUAAGCGACGCCUAGCUGUUCAUUGAUUUCUUGGCAUUGUUUACUAUCUCAAUCCAUGCCUGAUACUGAAUCUGAACGUUUCCAUCUCUAGUACCACGACACGACAUUGGCGGUGGCAUCUUGGGGAAGAAGGGGAUGACAAUGGCUUAGAGAGGAAGAUCACAAUUGACAACUUGCAGCGUAGGCUGACAAUGCUACCGUGGAUACUCUCCUGCACUAGCUAUUCAGUGACAAAAAGAAGUCAGCACAACAAGAGAAGUCGGAGAAGCAAUCGAAGAAAGGAUGAAAACAAAAGAAAGAGAAAGUUGCAUCUGUUCCUGAAAGGAGAACACUCGAUUACUUAAUGAACAUUGGUUUGAUUUUGUUUCAGGAGAACACUGGGUGUUCAUCUGAGUCUGCCAUGGCCACCAGUAGCGAUAACAAAGUUGCUGAUAUGGAGAUGCUCUCCUGUCAUGUAUGCUAUGAUCCAGACCGCCUUCCCUGACUUUUGAACAACUUGUGAUGUAAUGUAUCAUCUACCUGGCUAUCAAGUUGAGUGCUACUCCCGACAGUCACAUGUAAUGGACUUCAUUUUCUUAUGUUAUUUAUGAAUAGC